rnacentral:lncRNA from 1 species
CAGAAUUUGGCGCUGAUGACUCCUCAAAGCUGCCAUGAAUCCCCCAAGGCUUCUGCUGAAUCUACAAAUAUUAGCUACUUCCUUUGUGGUUCCUCCCUUUUGAAUCCCAACAUUUUAGGUCAAGUUUCCUAGCAGAUCAUAAGAUAAGGUUUUGUGUGCAACUGAUUUAUUGUAGAAAUCUCUAAGGGGAACUCAAAAAAGACUGGUGCUUGGGACAGAAAGAGGAAGAAGCUGGAGAUGAGGGUGAGUUCUUGGGCCACAAUUCCACAGAGGGUGUCUGUGCCUCCACCCUUAUAUAGAGUGUUGAGGUAUAAGAUGCACUUCAGAGUUGUCAGAAACCAAAGCAAGGUAACUGGGCAAGGGAAUAAUUCCCAUACAUGUUAGUCACUGGCUAAAGUCUGAUUCAGGUAAACAUAAACUGCCAAAUGCUUAUCUCUGUGUCUGCAGCCAAGUGACUCUAAUGGCCUCAGGGCAGUCCUCUUAAAGAGCUACAGGUCCUGCCCGUUGAAAACUCUAAAUCUGGAUGUGGGGGUGCAUGAAAAUGGUAUAAUACAGACACAGGGGCAUCUAGGUGAAGCACUGAUGUUGUCUCUUAUUCCAGGAUAAUGCAGCGUGGGCUUGAGGCAUGACCCCUGACAUAAUCUUCUAUCAAUUUUUGUUAUUACAGAGAAAUCCCUUUCUGGAGGGAACAAAAAGGGACAAAAUUUUACCAGGAUGUUCAUAUAGUUUUCCUGAACUUGGUUCCCUGUGGUCCUCACUUCCAUCUGCUAAGCAAGGUAUGUGAUUGAAAAUCGCAGAUGUUUGAUAUCACAUUUUACUGCAUUUGUUUGGUGCUGGACAGAUAGCAGAGAACACAUAGAAAGAUAAAGGUUUCAGGGAGAAAAAAAUUGUAUUCUUGAUAUCCAGGCAUAUAUGGUUUCAUCGUAAUAUACACUUAAAAACUGAAUUCCUGAAAAGUCAAGAUGGUAAUGACAACAACAGUGACCAUUUUGAAGGCUCUGUGCUAAACAUUUAUGUAGAUGAUUUUGACAAUGACUUUAUUCAGUAAGGAGUUGUGGUUACUCUCAUUUUACUGGCUGAAGAGAUCGGAGCUUUGAGACGUCUGAAGACAUUUCCAGUUCCAUUUGCUUUCAGACAACGUCAUGCUUAUUGCUACUGGUCUUCAUUCUGAGUUAGAAAGAACGUGCCUUUGGUGAACUCUUACUCAUGUUUAUUUGAAGAGCCAAUUCAAAUGUCUUUGGCACCUUGCUUUGGCCAGCCCUUAGUGUCCAGACCCUUUUAUUCAGAUCUUCAGAGAUUUAUCAGCAAUAAAUGGUCUUAGACUGAAAGUUAAGGAGCUCUG